rnacentral:rRNA from 1 species
GACGAACGCUGGCGGCGUGCUUAACACAUGCAAGUCGAACGUGAUUUUUGUGGAAAUUCUUUCGGGAAUGGAAAUGAAAUGAAAGUGGCGAACGGGUGAGUAACACGUGAGCAACCUACCUUACACAGGGGGAUAGCCGUUGGAAACGACGAUUAAUACCGCAUGAGACCACAGAAUCGCAUGAUAUAGGGGUCAAAGAUUUAUCGGUGCAAGAAGGGCUCGCGUCUGAUUAGCUAGUUGGAAGGGUAAAGGCCUACCAAGGCGACGAUCAGUAGCCGGUCUGAGAGGAUGAACGGCCACAUUGGAACUGAGACACGGUCCAAACUCCUACGGGAGGCAGCAGUGGGGAAUAUUGCACAAUGGGGGGAACCCUGAUGCAGCGACGCCGCGUGAGCGAAGAAGGUUUUCGAAUCGUAAAGCUCUGUCCUAUGAGAAGAUAAUGACGGUAUCAUAGGAGGAAGCCCCGGCUAAAUACGUG